UGGGGAAUAUUGCACAAUGGGCGCAAGCCUGAUGCAGCCAUGCCGCGUGUAUGAAGAAGGCCUUCGGGUUGUAAAGUACUUUCAGCGGGGAGGAAGGGAGUAAAGUUAAUACCUUUGCUCAUCGACGUUACCCGCAGAAGAAGCACCGGCUAACUCCGUGCCAGCAGCCGCGGUAAUACGGAGGGUGCAAGCGUUAAUCGGAAUUACUGGGCGUAAAGCGCACGCAGGCGGUUUGUUAAGUCAGAUGUGAAAUCCCCGGGCUCAACCUGGGAACUGCAUCUGAUACUGGCAAGCUUGAGUCUCGUAGAGGGGGGUAGAAUUCCAGGUGUAGCGGUGAAAUGCGUAGAGAUCUGGAGGAAUACCGGUGGCGAAGGCGGCCCCCUGGACGAAGACUGACGCUCAGGUGCGAAAGCGUGGGGAGCAAACAGG
rnacentral:rRNA from 1 species